GAUGCUUAAGACUGCAGAAGAUUUGGUGCCCUGAGUCAAGGAAUAGUCAGAGAGAUUCAUUUCUACUCAGACCAGAGAUGACAGAAUCAAGCUUGGAGAUUAUGGCAGUAGAGAACAUAGCAUUCGGGAGCUUUGGGAAGGAAGUCAGCUGCAGCAAGAAGGACUUCAGGAAUCCGGGCGAAAGAAAAUGAAGCAGUAGAAAUGAGUAUCUUAGCUACAUCCCUGAAUUCUUCAGAGUCAGUAAAGAGGAAUUACAAGGAGCGCUUGCUCAGGAAAUCUUCUAAGUGCCUGGAGUAACUAGCAACUGUAAAAGAGAAAUGCUUUACAUUUUCAAGAGUCAAGGAUAGGAACAAAAAUGUUGGCUUUGAUCUCCCCUGAUGCAGCAGAUCUCUACUCUUUCCUUGUAAAGAAUCCAGGAUGAUUUUCUUAGUGAAUUUCUACUGGAAAACAGUGAAAAUUUCAUUUAUCAGUCUGAAAUCUAUCCUCUCUGUUUUGCAAAGGAAGAAUGCAAUGAGAAAUAUACUCAUCGUACGCUGACAGGUUGGGCUAAACUUGGAUUUAUCCAAGUAAACAUGGCUCAAUUUGACACUCUCUGGUGAAUAAAGAGUGGAUCUGUUCUUCAGAGUGCAUCAGAGGGGAUCUGACUAUAUUCAAGACUGAGAAUCAACAGAAGGAUACUAAAAUUAUUUGAAAUUAACUAUGAAAUGUUACUAACUUGUCUUCAAUAAUGAUGUUUUUCCAGGCCAUUCUCAUUCUCUGUAUAAAAAGAAUGUUCAAGAAAUUGUAUUUUAAUGUUUUUCCUCUACAUGUUUGUCAUCAAGAAUCUAAGACUGAACUGCAUGUUGCAUAGUAUAAAUUACAAGUUCACUUCUAUAGAUUUGGGACCUCCAGAUUAAAAAGUCUAAAGAUACUUUUCAUCUUAUACGUAACUUCCAGAGCUAACAAUAGAACUCAUAAAUGACCCCCCAUUAACAGAGUUCAGUCUAUAUUCAAAGUGCUUCCAAGUAGAGUACAUAGGAAAAAAAAAAAAAAGAAAAAAAAUAGGGCUUUUGAUAGAAUGAUGCUAAAAUCAGUACAAUUUAUUUAUUUAUUUAUUUUCAAUCAAGUAGCUUUUCUCUUAUUAAAACUGAAAUAUUUAAAACUUAAGUUGAAUUUCAUUUUCUACAGUUCACUAAGUCUUAGCCGUGAAUAUAGUAAAUACAUCUAUAUUUAUAGUAAUAGGGAGAAAGAAUCUUACUUUUUUUUACAGAGAGAAAAGAUAUUGGAUUAAAUUUUGUAUUUCAUGCUCCAGAAAGGAUGUUUUUGGCAAUUCAAGUCUUUGAUCAGUUGGAAACUGAUUGUAGACCAUGCUGUAUUUUGAGACAGAAUUAAAUGAAAUGUCUCCAAACACCUGAAAGCCAAUGUACUCCCUUAGGAGAGUGGCAAACCAGGUUCUAAGAUUGAUUUUGUUAGUGGUAGAACUACUCCAGUAAUCUUUAGAAAAAAAAAAAAAAAAUGAAAGACAGAGAGAGAGAGAGAGAAAUAAUUGCAGGGCGUAGAGAAAACUCAAGUACUCAGUAGGUCAUGUCAAAAAGCAACAGGUAUUGUGAGGCUGAAUGAUUAUGUGACUCAGAAAAUAUUUGGUAGUCAGACUUGUGGUAUAAGAAAUGCACAUGUGUUUACUUUAUAAUGCUAAUUUUUCUGAUUAUUCAAAGACUUAGACAAUGUGAUGCCUAUAUUGACAUCCCGUUACAUUGUUUAUCUGGAGUGGAAUAUGGGGAUGGAAUAUAAUGACAAAAAUACAGACACAUUAGGGGAAAAUAUUUGCAUUUACAUGUGUCAAACAGUAAUCAAAUUUUCCUGCAUGGUAAAGACAUGUUCACUAGCCUAGUUUCAAUUUCUUUCUUUCUAUUUAUUAUUUGGAGGUACUUUGAAACACGUUAGAUGUUGAAAAUAUAUAUUUAUCUUUUCUCCCAGUUAUGUCUUUUCUAUCGUAUUCAAAGAAGCUUUCACAAAACUUACUUGACGAACUCAAAAAGGAGGAAGAGAUGUAUGGAUAUAUUCUCUACACAGAUAGUAAUAUCUGAAGCAGAAGAACAAAACAACAUCUCAAGAUUCAGUGCAGGUUAGGUAACAGGGAGUGGAUUGCAUCUUAUCUUCUCACUCCUGGACCAAUGCACUCCAAUGUUUUUCCCUGACCUCUUUCAUCUGGUUCCCAGUGAUAUAGUUUCAAUGAACUGAAGUUGUGAAGUUGCACAGAGCUUUUUAUUUACUUAAACUUCCAACAGUUGUACUACAAAAUUUUGUCAAGCAUCUUAUCACGUCUUCUGAUGAAACAGCUCAUAACAACAAUUUACAUGAACAUGACUUAUAAAGGCUUAUCAGUAAUUGCUUAAUAAUAAUAAUAAUAACUUUCAUUGCUACUUAAAAUAUUACUAUGUUUAUUUAGAAUGAUGAUUGUUAAUUAGAAGUCAGCAACCAGAGGUGAUGAAUAAAUUAUGAAGUACAUUUUUUGUCAGCGAUGGAAACAAGCAAGUGAACAGUAUGAUUUGUCACCGUAUUAUUGGCACUUGGGAAAAAGGAAGGGCUUUUGGAACAAUCCUUUAGGGAUCAAUUAAAAAUGUGCCCCAAAUUAUAAAAAAAAAACAACACUAGUAGUGAGCUCAAAGUCAUUCAGCCACUUCAUGAAGAGCAAAAAUGUAAAAUGCAGCUGAUGUGAGUUAUAUGCUUAAAUCCUGUACGUUCAAAUAUGCUAAAUGACAAAAAAUAUAUAUAUUAGAGAUUGUAUUCAUUAAAAGGACUAAAUGACAGUUUAGCCUGGAGAGUAUUAUUCAACAGAUACCAGUGGAGAAAAAGGGUAUUUCUUUUCAAAAGAGAGGCACAAAUUCUGCAAGGGAAGAGAAAGAAUCUGUCACAGUUAACCAUUUCCAGUUUCUUUUUGGUAAUAGAUGUUCUAUCAUGCUGCUAUUGCAUGUACUAGUGUCUGUAAAUGCUGCUGUUAUGCAAUGACCUCUGAUCAUCACACUACCAUGCACAUAAAAAUAUGUCCAUUUCUACUCCAUGGAUAUUUUCCAAGAGGAUAGGAAAAACAUAUGCUAAAUGCAAAUAAGAGUGAGAGAGGGCAGGAGCAGAAAAAAGUUUUGUGAAUUGCUCUUCAAGUACAAGAAAAAUGUAAACUAAGCAACAAAGUGUGGUGUAUGUCUGUUAGAUAAAAAAGAAGAAAAAAGGUGCUUACCUAAUGAGAGACUAGAGGAACUUUGAAAGAUAUGGGAAUGGAUUCAGACCAGAGGAAGAUAAGAUUUUAAAAACUGCAUUUAGUGUGUAGCAUGAAAAAAAAAAAAAUUACCAAGAGAAAUUACGAGAUGGAAACAGUGUAAAGAGAAUGCUUGAAAUUUUCCUACAAAUUGUUCAGACUAAAAAUUAGACAAAACCUAUGCUAGUGGGAAGGCUUUCUGAAUUUGAAAGAGACUAUGAGUUAAUGCUGUAAACCAUGUUGUUUCCAAAGGCUUUAGUGAUGAAGAGAAAUAGGAAAAAAUGAUUAGAAACAGAGAUCAAAGUUGAACAUUUUAAGAAGAGAGAGGGAGAGAAAAUAUUUCAGCAUCAGGGCAUUGAGUUACAUAUGAUUAACAAAACUUUGUCUUAAAUCUCAUGACACUCAUAUAGACUGAAAGAUAGUCUUCUAUCUGUCACUUGCUUUGUGAUUGGACUGGCUUUAUCUGUAUUUGAAUACAGAAUAUUUCUAUAUGUAUGUAAUUAUUUCUGCCUAUUGUGAUAUCUUUACUAUAUUUCUUUCUGAUUUUAGCCCAGCAUGGAAGUGAGGAAGAACACAAAAAACAAACAAACAAAAACAAAACAAACAAACAAAAAACUAGAGAAAGUUAAGACCUAUGUAACUAAUGAGUUCUUAUCACAGAGUAAAAAUCAUAUACAGGAUUCCAACAUUAUUUAACUACAUCUAACAAUUACAGGUCAGGUAUGAUUUGUUUUUCAAGAUGUUGAUGAACAGUUGAAGGAAGAUAGUGGAGCUGAGAAUUGGUCUAUGUAGAUGCUGAAAGCAGAAAAGUAGUCAGGAUUGUGGGCACAGAGUGAACAUUUAUCAAAAUGACAGUACUGGAAAUGGGUACAACCUCCACACAGAGAAAAAAAAAACAAACACAUUUGAAAGAGUGACUCAGGAAAUGUUUGAUUUACAGUGGAACUUUGUUUAAUAGUUUGGAAUAUGGAGAUUCAAUGGAUUAAUUUUUUUAUAACUAAAGAAAAAAACAAACAAAAACAUACUUCUGAUACUUACACAGCCAAGUAAAAUUAUUUAUUUUGUAUUUUCUGAACUAGCAGCUGUUUACUGGAUGUUUCUCCUUGCAGUAAAUUAUGUUUGAUUUUCAUCAGGAAAGACUUAGACUUUUUCUACCCUGUUUCCCCUUAAUAUUACAGAGAUUAAAAUACACGAUGUCAAGAGUAAGGAACAGAAUUUCUAUAAUACUUCCCCCAUUUAAUGAAAUUACUAUUUCAUUAUUUACAAAUAAAGAAAAAUGAGCAUAAAUGAGCCAUUUUGGAGAAGUUUUUGAAAGAACUACCAUUUGAAUAUUAGGAAAUGCAAGAAGUGCAACAAUAGUAUCAAGCAUAAAGAACAGAACAUAUUUCUAUUAGAAAUCUGCUUAAUGUACAAAGACUAAAGAAGUUCACAAUUUAGUCCUGCUUUGCUGUAUGCUGUAUUUGAAUUUUUGGAUGUAUCUCAUCUGUACCAUAUUGUUCUCUGCUGUAAAAUAGUAACAAGUGUAGCUCUUAAUGACAGGUUGUAGUGAUUAUUAAUUUAUUAAUAUUUUGUUGAAGAUUUCAGAUGGAAGAUGCUAAACUGAAGAAUUUAGCAUCAAAACAGAGUUAUUGCAUCUACUGCAGAGGAAACCUUAGCUCUCAGGUCUGCAUCAAAAUUAUUCAUGUCAAUCAUUUUGCUUAAGGAAAGCAGACUUCAGUGUGAAUGAUGGACACUUCUGAUUACAGAAGCAUUUCUCCCAACAGUAGAAGAGUCCCCCCCACAGCUUCACUCGUUACACCAUAGUGCACUACACGCAAAUUGUACUCUGGUGUUGUAUCAGUAGUUUCCUGGAUCAAUUUGUAUUUUUUGAAAACUCCUCUUUUGAAAAUUCCAACCUCUAAGUCAUCUUGCUUAGUUCUUCAGAUCAAAUCAGACAAGCUCUGACCAGAUGAUCUUUCCUUUUCAGUAGCAAAAUCAGAUUUGUCAUGCAAAAGUACUAUUUAUAUUCUAACAAUCUCCCCAGGAUUUAUCAACUGGCAAGGCAGCAUCCAUGUGACCCAGAAAGAGCUGACAAUGUUAGUGGAAAUUAUAGAAUUGAGAUUUUGACUCUAUAAGAGAAUAAUUUUGGUUCUUCUUUUUUAUACAUGCUUACCAAAAAAAAAAAGUAAGCCCCAAAUACUUAUCCCUCAAAGAGAAGAAAAGAGAAGAAGACAUGCUGCCAACUUAGACUUUUCUGAUGAACAUAUUAAUAUUUCUGUUCACAAAAUCUUACAGAAACUUUGAAUCAUAAUUUGUUUUGAAUAUAACAUGAAAAAUAAAGUAGCAUUCUCUGGGAGUAUAGUCAGAAAAAAACAAAAAUCUUUCAUCUUCUUCAAACUCUUCCAUUGCUGGUGGUCUUAGCCAAUCUUUUAUUCACCCAGUGAAUGCCAGAGCUUGACUGAGAUUUAUUACUUAUCAUUAAAUUCGCAGAUAUUUCAGACAUUGCACGUGCAAAAGCCAUUGUUAAAAAUAUAGUUUGAGACUAACUGUACUGUAACAGAGCAAAAUCUCUGAGUGUGAGUCCAAAAGAUUUAGGGCACUCAGUUUUGGUGGAUUUUUGGAAAAGAACAAUCUGCAAGGCUGCUGCAAUAAAUAAAACACAGUGGCUAAAUAAAUAAAUAAGUAAAUAAAUUAGUUAAGAGCUAGAACUACUUUAUCCUAUGUAGUCAAAAAAUAGAGAAGUAUGAACAACAUAAAAAUUGCUCUGACUUCUCAAAGAAAAAAAUAUAAGCAAGGGCUGAGUGGAACAAAGCACAUUCUCAAAAUGCAGGAAAAAGACUAAGAAAUAUAGGAUAUAGCACACAAAAAAAAUCCCAAGAUUACUGUUUCCAUAAGAACAAUCAAAAGAAAGGAAUAAACCUAUUCAAUCUCCUGCUAAUUCUCACAGAUCUGUGCCCCCUAUUGGAAUAGAGAUAUAAAUCUUGCUAACCUCAGAAAUAUAAAGACACAUCAAAAGUACAAAAGGUCACACCAAGUUUCAGGAGAAUCUUAAUCUUCAUGUUAGCUAUAGGAAAGUUCAGCCUACAUCUUUCAUGGCAGUGACUUAGAAAGAAGCUUUUAAAACUAGUACCCAAACUGUAAAAAUGAGAUUCAAAUGCAGGUUGUCAUCCUUAAAAUCAGAUUGGAACAGUAUUACUUCCUUAAAAGAAACAAUUAAAGACUGAAAAUAGUGCAGAUGCAGACUAGAAGGAAAAAAAAAAAACAAAAAAAGAGGAAAAAUGUGAGUUAAAAAAGCACAUCUGUAAAAGUUUUAUUAAAAAGAAUAAUCAGAGGGAAAUAGAAUAAAAACUUUUUAGUAGAUGUUCACAUCAAACAAGAAAAAAAUGUAGAGAUUUGAAAAUAAUUUCUUGAAGUCAUGUCGGCUAUAAUUUUAACAGCAGAAAUUGCAUUAAGUAUAGGCAGAAAGAAAGAAAAAGCUCAUUAUCAAAGAUUUGCUUUGAAGUACUGGGCUAUGACAAAGGUACUGCAGUGGAUGAAAGCCAGCUAUAUUCAAGACAUAAUAAUUCAGCAUUUCUCUCCAAGGCACUCUCUAAAGUUUUAUCAAUCAAAACAAAAAUGUACUUAGAAAUAGUGUACAUAUGCAGAGCAAAAGACCAUGAAAGCAAUCUGAAUACAGAAAAGCAGUGAAAAGUCCUUUCCAACUAAUUUAAAGAGAAGCCCUCAUUAAAUAUUUACUGAGUAUAUGUAAGCUUCUAGGCAGUAUGUGAUGUCAAUAUGUAGUCUUUGCUACUUUGAUAGUUUUGUGUUGGAUUUUUCCUGAUGGAUUAAGAGAUAGGAACAUCUUAAUGCUGCAAUGAGAGAACAACAGUAGUCUGAGGUCUUAUGGUUUCAUUGGGCUCAGUAGAUCCUCUGGGACUCAAUUGCUUAUAGGGAAUUAGUGUGUAAAAUAAUCCUAGAUCACUUUAUCUUUCAUUUUAUUGGGAAAAGCAUCUUAAUUACUUCUCUAUGUAUCAGAGCUAAACCAUAUGGAUAAUGUCCUAUCACAAUGCCCUGACAAAAGUCAUGAAAUACUGAGAAACUUGUUGCUGAACAGCAGCCUGCAUCACACUAACAAUUUUCCUUUUCCAAACCAUUUUUAAAACAAGAACAAAGCGUUACUGCUAUGCUUUCUAAAAUAAGUUCUACAAGGCUAAUGAAUAGGAAAAGACAGACAAGACCACUUUUUCUAAGCCCAAGUAUGUAAUUACAUUUCUAACAAAGAGCUGUGAAUGCUGAGUAUUUUUCUGAAAUAAUACAACUGUUCAACCCAGAAUUUUCCAUACUGAAAGAGUUUGCUUUCUGUCCUGCAGGCUGAAAAGUCAUUUAUCCUUUAUCCCUCCAAAAAUUUAUUUCUCUGCCUCUCUCUAGUUUUCUUAUCCUGUACCAACUCCCUUAUUUCAUGCUUUUUUUUUGCUAUAAUCCUAUGUUUUCCUUUAUUCUUCCAAUGUGCUAUUCUUAUUGGAAUGUCCAUUCAGGCAUCCCUCUAAAUAGAUCUUGUUCUGCUGAACAUAGAUGUUAAUGGUGACAAUUUUUUCUCUUUUGUGUCCUCUUUCAAACAGAGUGAAUAAACUAUGACAAAAGUAUUCUCAAAUUGGCUGUUUUUCUUUCCCUCAAAGCAUUCACUGACACCAAUUUGAUCAGAGAAGCACAUGAACUGUUUACAUAAAUUUAGGAAACUGCUUUAAAACCUUAUCCCAAUAGAUGUGUUUGUGAUUGCCUAGGAAAACAGAAGAGACCUCAUAAUCCUAGUCACAUGACAUUUACCACUCCCUCUCUUCCCUUUAUUCCUGUAAUAGGUAUUUAAUGGAGUAGAUCUGUCACUGGUGUAACAGCCAUAUGCUCAUUUCUAUUAGCUUUGAAAAACUGUAGCCAAAAAUCUAUAGCCAGUGAUGGGCUGUUGCAUUCUUAUGUUGACCUGUUAGUUACCCACAGCUAUUCUCCAUUCCCCUUAUCAAAUCUCUGCCAGUUAACACCAAGUGUUCCAGGAAACACUUUUGGCAAGCACAAAGCGGUAAAACUCCUGCUAUUCUGAGCAUGUAUCAAACGGUCCUAUUUUCCUAGAUUUAUAUCAAGCGUGCAUCAAACUCUUACUGGAUAAAAGAAAAGACUGAAGAGAAAUAACUCUAUGCUGACAGCAUGUUGAUAUGGUCUAGAUUCCUAUUUGCCAGCAUGGUAGGAUAAAGAAUAAUACAAGGGAAGAUUUCAACAAAGGCUACUGAGGUCAGACCUUAUGCUAUGUCAAGGACUGAAAAAUGUAAAAAUAAAUGUAGCUGCAUGCCUCCUGAGUAGAAAGAGAAUGAGAUUAAAGACAUUGCUUAAAAAAACCUCUUCAAUAAUAGAUUUUUUUUUAAUGGACUCUCUUCCAGUGCAAUUUUAUUUUAAGGCCCUAGCAAAGACAGCUUCUACAUGGUCUAAUAAAAAACAAUUUUAAGUAGAUUUUGAUAGAAUGCCUUACAAGCUCACAGUAAUUACUGCUUUAUAAAUUGUUUAUGGUUUUCCAACAAGUAUCUCAUAUGUAUAAAAUGAAAGUUUCUAUCAAAUACUUCAUCAAUAGUCUCUUUACGUUAGUUUCAGUAUCUUUUAGGUGUAUUUUACCUUCCUUUUUCUCUCUUUCAGUAGUUAUCUCAAAAGAAAGAGUAGAUUAUAGAGAUGUCUAUGCAGAUAGCACACCCUCAAGCUCUCUAAGCUGCCUUUUCUGACCUUGUGAUGGGAGAUUUGUUAGACUCAUGUGAUUAGAGCUAAAUUGUAGAAGCUGGUCUCCAAUUGGAAAUGGAGCUCGAAGAUCUUUUGCCUUGGUACUAGAUGCAGACAGAAAUGCUGUACUACUAAUGAUCAUUGUGUUUGCACACACUGCAAAAGCCUGACUGAUGGAGGGACUGUUGCUUACAUGAACGAUGCUGCCUGCUGAUGCUAAUCAGUAAUAUCUUGUCUCUGCUAGAGACCAAGACUUUUAAAGGCAACAGAGCAGUAAUAGCUCUUACUGGGCAUGCACCUUAGUAGCAGAUAAAGUUCCUCACUUUUAGAUUCUUUGAUUUCUGAUGUGUGGUGGAUAUUGGUUGCUUCCAUUCCACAGCCACAGUCAGAAAAUAAAGGUCCAUGCCAUGAUCAAUGCACCUAUAUAAUAAAAUAAAAUACAAAACAAAAUAGGCAAACAAACAAAUAAACAAAUAAAUAAAAGGAUGCUUCUAGAUAAAAAUGAAACUUAGAGAGCGAUUGAAGAAAUACGACUCCACAGUUAGGAAAAAGCUGUUGCAGCAGAAGAAUCCUUGCCAGGCUAUUGCUGUCAGGUAUGAGAGAGCUAAAAAUCCUGCCUUAAGUUCUAAAAAGAGUACCUUUACAAGGCUGAAGAAUGCCUGUGGGUAACCUGGAGUGACUGGGCACCACCUUGCUGUGACAAACAACUUCAAAUAUUUGUCACAGGAACAAUCACUGCAGGUGUCUCAGUCCUUUGACUGUGUGCCCGAAGAUCAAAAUUAGACAUUGGAAGACUGUCCCAGUGUAAUCAAGGAAGACUGUUAAGGUGGAUCCAAAGUCCAGGGUUGUGAUAAUGGGAGUCAACAUACAGGAGAGCUACAAAAUCCUCACACAGUUUGGACAAUUUGAACACAAAACUCCUGGAGAAAACAGGGAGCAGAGUAAAAUGAAGCGUUUUACCUAAGAGAAACAAAAUCUAAAGCAUGAAUGAAAUGCUGGAAAAAUUAUAGAUGUGAAUAUUAGCUUCUCCAACUACUACAAGUAUUCCUUCUGUCAGGUGAGUGUGUUAUUCUUCUGUUGAGCAUUGUCUUUUAUGUUAGUGCUGGACAAAACAGAUUUUUUUCUCACUGUUAACUUUCAGAAAUAGAAUUCUGUUUCCUUUCAAUACAACGAUUUAUAAUUAUGUAUAAUAUGCUGCUUUCAUAUGACCAUUUUUUCUAAAUGUAUUUUAUAUUCUUAUCGACGUACUAUGCUCAGUAAAAUCCAUAGUCUUAGGUUUUAAAGAAUCUGCCAAUUCUAUUGGAAUGUUUGACUAUCUAAUAUGUGGAAAUGAAAAUUUGCUUUGAUAUUUAGCCUUUUGGGGAAAAUAUUUAGUGGAGUCCCUUUAUGCAACUCCACUUGCAGAAGCAGUAUUAGCUGUGACACCUCCUGAAGCUGUCAUGAUGAUCAGUGAUGGAAGACAAUGGGUAAAAGUCUCAGCCACUUUCUCACCCUCAUUAAACUUUCUCUUGAGCAGCAUGUGGCACUGCAGAUAAUGAGUUCCAUCUGUGUGUCACCAGUCUCACCUACAGAAAAAAAAGGCAUUCACAUUUGGAGGCAAAAACUUCAGAAAAGCCAAAGUUUUCAGCUAAAAAUAAACCUUUGAUUACUGAGUUGUACAGAACUUCCAUAUAUUCCAAUUACUGUUCCAUGUUUGGUCUUCAGAAAAAGCUUUUAGCAAAAAUGUUGUCAGGUGAUGAAGCUAAUUAGUGAAACUAAAUUAAUUCUGAUAAUCAAAUACCAUCAAUACUCUUCUUCAUCUUUUGCAUUCUUGAGUUGAAAUUCUUUUGUGUUAUCUCACAUACACAAAAAAUUAUCAAAUGACCUGAAAUUGAUAAUAUUUACUAUGACAAAUGUUAAGACUUAAAUGAAGAAAAAAUGGUAAGGGUCAAAAAAUGAAUUACUGCCUAGGUUAUUAUUGAGUUGCAGACACUCUUUUGAAAGUACAAUUCUAUAAUAGCCUGGAAUUCUGAAUGAACUGUUCAUCACAUUUAGUGCAUUUAAAUAGUAAGAACUAUAGUUGUUGAUAGUAUUGUUCAUUAACUCAGUGCAAUAAAAAUAUCCACUACUAUCCACUGUAUUUCUCUGUAAGAGGUAAAGAUACACAUAUUGCUGAUCAAAGCAAAGUUUUCCAUCAAACAAGAAAAAAACUCAAGUCAUCAUAAUAGAACAGUAACUCUGUGCAGUGCCAAUAGCUAUAUAUUGUCACUGCCAUUUGCCAGCCUUUUUCCUUAACUUUGCAAACUAAGAGAUAAUCUCACACAGACUUGCAGUGAAAUUUGCCUAAAUCUAAUAUAAUAUGUAUCAAAACAAAUUUUCUGUGUGCACUAUUAUAUAGUCUCCUAUUGAUCCUAAGAGUAUUUAA